AAUUUCUUGACGGUGAUUCUAGAUAGAGGGCUAAAUUAUUUCCUUUUUUGUGCUGCAUUCUUAUAGCUUUCUUGAAACAAGCUUCAAAAAAGAUUGGAGGGGAUGAGAAGCAGCCAAAGCUUCAUUUGUGGGGGUUUUCCAAAUGCAAAGAAUAAUGGAAUGACCGAUACAUGUUGUGAAAGCAAGCGCGAAAUGAAAGUUCCAAGUUUGGUUGCUAGUCUCAUGGGUUUAGAAUCGAUGCCAGCAGGAUCAUGCAGUAAGCCCCCGAAGGCUUCAGCAUCUGAAACUUUGAGCAAUGUGGCAGACAAACUUGGUGCUUGACCUGGCGGAUCUGAUAAAGAAGAUAUGGAUUUUUAGAUGGCCGAAAUAAAGAGUUCAGAACCAGGUUUGCAAAGGUUUAGAGCUAAAUGUGCUCUCACUUAUCCUACUAGAUAUUUUUCUCCUCUGGAAGAUGAAGCAGAUUUAGUUGGGAAUUAACUUGAUCACCAUUCAACUGACUGCUACCUCUCCAGCAGUCCCAAUAGUAGUUCAAAGGACAAAGUGCUUGCGGAAUCACUGGACUCUAUUGAUGAUGAACCACUCUUUCCAGAACCUGAUAGAGAUCUUUCGGAUAGUGAGACCUCAUUAUCCACCAGGAGGAGUUGCAGAGAACUGAUUCAUAACGUUUCUGGUGUGCUCAGCAAGAUUGAUCAGUUAAAAGGAAGCAAACUCAGCUACGCAAAAUAGGUCAUUUUGAAUGCUAAGCUAAUAUUUGGAACUACACCUCAACAGCAGGCUCUACCUGUAGAGGAUGGGUUCUCUGUGAGCCAUUUUCUCCUCAAUGAACAUGAAAUGUUUUCGAGUUUUUUGUGGAUAGUUUUCGGUGAGUUGCUUGGCUGUAAUGACCCAAAACAGAUGAAUCAGCUUAAAGGAUUCGCCUUUGAUUGUUUAUUAGAGUACCUAGACUCAAAAUUUUCUCCAAUCUCUGAUUCUGGUUUCAGAACCUGUACCAAAAUACCAUCAAGUAUGACCAAAGAGAUUCUUAUUGCUGAUAUUAUUGAUGAGGUCAAAGAGUGGACACAAUUUGUUGGUUUGAUCCCAGACUAGCUAAUAGAAUGGAAUAUGAGCCAUUCUUGGGGUAAAUGUACGGACUUUGAGAUUGAAGAAUAUGAAUGUGGUACUGAAGUUGCUAGGCAUAUUCUCCAAGAAUUAGUAGAUGAAAUUGUUUUAGACCUCUACAGUUCUAGCUAAAUUUGGUGGAACUGUUAGUAGCUCCUUUUGAGACAUUGUUGCAAGCCUAUCAGUGCUUUUCUCAUGUGAUAACUCUUGACUCAGUAAUGUCAAGCAAAGUAUUUUGUACAAAUCAUUGAUUAUGCA